UAAGCGAGUAGUGAAAGCGUUCGGCUCAACCGGAUACACAUUAUUUGAACUGCAAAGCUAGAGGACGAGAGAGGUUAUUGGAAUUCCCAGUGUAGGAGUGAAAUCCGUAGAUAUUGGAAGGAACACCGAUGGCGUAGGCAGAUAACUGGCUCGUUCCUGACACUAAGGCACGAAAGCGUGGGUAGCAAACGGGAUUAGAUACCCCGGUAGUCCACGCCGUAAACUAUGGAUGCUA
rnacentral:rRNA from 1 species